AGCCCUCUGUAUCCGCGCUGAGAUUUCGUCAGAGAUCAACCCACUGACGUUGGCUGAUGGUACUUCCCAAAUAAGUGAAGCA
rnacentral:pre_miRNA from 1 species